rnacentral:lncRNA from 1 species
GUUAGGAGGAGAGAAGGAGAGUUUCUUUACUCUCUUGCCUUGAUGCUGGGAAGAUGCAAAUAGAUGAACCGGAGAGUCGGGGCCUGGUGAAUGGGCAAAAGAAAAUGAAAAGAAAAAAAGUCAUUGCAAGAGUCACACGCUGGCACAAUGUGCAUGGACACCUGAGAAGGAGAGGGGCAAGGAAAACCACUCUUUCUCAAAAAACUGUCUACCAGCUUUUGAAUUUCUUCUUGCCUGAAGUGUUCUUUCUUUCUUUCUUUUUUUGGUGAGGAAGACUGGUCCUGAGCUAACAUCUGUUGCCAAUCCUCCUCUUUUUGCUUGAGGAAGAUUGUCCCUGAGCUAAUAUCUGUGCCAGUCUUCCUCCAUUUUUUUAUAUGUGGGACACCGCCACAGCAUGGCUUGACGAGCAGUGCGUAGGUCUGAACCCAGGAACCCCCCCCACAGCUGACUUGGAAUGUGCAGUCUUAACCACUACACUGCUGGGCUGGCCCCCUGUAGUCUUCUUCCUAUAGGCAAAAGGAAAAACAGCAGAAAAUGAGACACUUUCUAUAAAGUUCUGCAGAGCCAAGGACAAACCAGUACUUAGAUCCCCUGACUCUCACACGUAAGACUUUGUUCCGAAUGCAUUAGUGUUUAGAAAGUUUAUACAGUUUGGAAGGUAGACAGGGGUGGAGACGUACACUGAAUUUAAACUCUCCUGUUGGCAACCCUUCCCUCGCCUGGAAUCCAACAGAUGCCUGAUGGGAUUGCUGGCAGGAGGCUUGGAUGAAGUCACUGGGGGAGCUGUUUGGCUAGUGACUCAUGAUUUAAGCUUGUUUAAUUGUUUUGGCAAAGUCCAUAUGUUGCUCAUGUGUAGAAAUAAAAAUAAUGAGGAUAAUUGGGUUGAUGCCAUUUCUGAUUUUCUGAAGGAGCUGCAGGAGGAUUUUUGGUCUUAAAUAAAUCGAACGGAGGUUGGGACCCAGUGAAAGAAGACCCUGCGUGACGACAUCCGUUGCUUAACUGGAGGUUUUAAUAAAACUGGAGUCCUCCGGGAAAAGAAAUGGAAUCCCCUGGAAAACAAUCUUGUAGGGGAAAGGGCAGGCUUUUUGAUAACUGUUUCAUUUGUGAAUAUUAAAACUACUUUGUAACAGGACACUGUUUUGUGAAUAGAAAGAUAAUUUUCUUGAUAACAAUUCCUAUUUAUAUAUGUGCGUGUCUCUAUUCAUGGUGACCCUAGUUUACCAAUAUUUCUCAUUAUCUACAACUUCACUGAGACCCAAAAAAGUGAGGAAAAAAUGGCUGAACUAAAUGCCCCCAAGUCCAUUAACUUGUACUUUAUCCAUAGCUGUUGUGGUGUUUUUCUUCUAGUGUUUUCUCUCUUGAGUGAAACAAUGAGAGCUUCACUGUCCACCCUCUUGCAUCAAUCAGACUCCUAGGAACCAUCCUAGGCACCUUCCUUCAUCCUAGCUCAUCUAGGUCAAGCCGCAUUGACCUUCUAAAUAGUUCUCUUUUUCACCCCCAGGGGUGCUUAACUUACUUUGUGCAGUGGAAAACUUUGGCAGUCUGGUGAAGCCUAUGGGCCCCUUUUCAGAAGAAGACUCAAAUUUAUUAAAUAAAAUACAUAGGAUUACAAAGGAAACUAAUUAUGUUAAGACACAGUUAUCAAAAUAUUUAAAAAAUUGAGUUAUAACAAUAUAUGUACUUCUUUAUUAAUGCAUCGUGUAAUUUGAUACAGUGGCAGGCCUAACGAUAGUAAUUGUCAAGCCAUGAUGAACAUCAGUGAUCUUGAUGUAUCUGCAGCUACUGUAAUGUCAGCUGAAGACUCUUGUGACUCCUCUUGGUUGCAAAGUUGCAGGUGCCGCAGAUACUACUGUGGUUUGUUACAUUCAUCAUGGAAGGAAAUACUAAAUUUCAAUCAGAAGUUGGUGAAAAUAAAGAUGUGCUUGUUUUUCCACCCAAGUUCUGUGAGUUGGGAACUCCUACCUUAGUCCAAGACACCCUCAUUUCUUGCUGGAUUUAUCACCACACUCUCCUAUUGGAUGUACACGCUUGCCAUGUCCAAACCAUCCUCCAUCUUGCAGCCAAGAUGAUGUUUUCAAAGUGCAAAAUUUGUUGUCACCUCUCCCCCACCCACUCAUACUUCAACCGUCUUCCAUUGCUCUUAGAAUAGAGACCAAAAGGCCAGGGUCUCAGCCGUGGGAGUCCUAUGUCAUGGGUUCUCUUCUCUCUCUUCAACCACAGGGCAUUUGCACGUGUGUUUCCCUCUCCUGUGAAUACUCUCCAUGCCCCUCCUCACCGAGUUACCUCUUCAGGAUUUCAACUCAACCACCACUUGCUCAAGGAAGCCUUCUCUGGCCUCCCCAGUCAGUUCCAGGUUCUCGAUUGCGCUGUAGUGUCUCAUUCGUCAGAGCUGAUGUGACAUUUCUUUGUGUGAUUCUUUGACUAAGAUCUACCUGCACCCACUGACUGUGGGUUCCACGAGAACAGGUUGUAUGCUAUCCCCAGGACAGUGUCUGGCACAUAGGAGUGGCUUAUUAGAUACUUGUAGAGUGAGUAAAUGAGUGACCGAAUAGUUCUAAUGAGCCCUUUAGAAGCAGAAAAUCCAGUGAUGUGGUGGGGGUUGGGCGUGGAGGACAGAAGAGCGUUAGAGGCAGACCCGUGACAGCAGGGAGAAGUGAUAAUCUCUCGUUCUCUCGUUUGAGGAGACAGACAUUCUCCAACAAGCCAAGAAGUAAUCAAAAACAGACACCUUCUCUCCCCCCAAAUUGAAGUCUUUCAGUCUAAGUAGAAAGAGAGUUCUACGCACAAUGAUAGGCCCCAAGGGCAUUGCUGUAUUUCAGGAGAGGACAUUAACUUGCAUUUCUAAGGUCAACCCUAAAUAUUAAGAAAAGGUUAUUGUAUUCACAUAUUGAAAAAGAAGUGUCAUAAAAAUGAUGAAAAUCAGAAUUUGCUCUUGAAGAGAAAUGAUUAUUUCGAAAAUAAACUAAUAUAUGAGGUCAGAUGACUAUACCGUAUCUAUCUAUGUGUGUAUGACAUCUCUCUAUCUAUAGGUAUGCGUAUACAUAUAUAUUGAUUUAUUUUUUUGGAAAUAUAUUCUUUGAUGCUACAUUUAGAUGUUUAAUUUCCUUGUUAGAUCUAAAACAUAUUCUUUCAACAAAAUAACUGAGAAGUAGAAUAUUCAGUGCUUUGAUGAUACCAGUGGAGAAUGGUAUCAAUGAGGCCAAAUUAUGCGUAAUUUUUUCGCAAACUGAGUGAUGAUAUUUGUGUUUUGAAACGUAAUUUUCACUACCACUUCCAGAUAGAUGUGGUGUAACUGCAGGCCUAGGGGAUUGGAUAAAGUGCGUGGAUGGAUGGUAUAGAUCCGCCCUCGAUAGUUAACCCAAGGUUGACUUAAGUAACAUAAUUUUGAGCAUCCACCAUGUUCAAGACUUGACAGUAGGUACUGGGAUGUGUGGCGAUACCAUAAUAGCAUUGGGUCUAUUUUCCUAUAUCAAUGGAUGCAUUAUUACCGAAGUUGACUGUUGUAUGGGAAAAGAUGAACAAAUAUUAGUCCUUGGCUGGCAAAAGGCAGAACAUUUUUCUUCUGAACCCCCACAGCACCUGCACACCUUGGCCAUGUGAGCAAAGCUGGGAGCAGUAACUCCUGAGACGCUGCUCCCUCUAUGCUGUUCCAGGGAGACUUCCUGUCCUUUGGGGAGCAUCUCACAAACAUUGCCUGGGAUUUGGAUUCAAACAAAAAGUUAACUGGUAGGCUUGUUUCCCUAUCAGUGGCUCAUCAUUUACUUAAAGCAAAGCUACAUAAAAUCCUUCGUCUUGUGGAUGAGGUUGGUGAGCCCAAUGUGGGGAAGUGAUGGACUGUGGCGGCUGGAGCAAAGGGCCUGGGCUACAGCCAUCAGUAACUCCUUGGGCCUAUAUGGUUCCCUCUCUUCUGGUGAGUUUGGACUCAGCAGUCUGAAACAAUGCCUAUGAAGCUGUCACACUCUAUUGUGUCAAAGCGACUCAAGUACCUUUGGGCUGGGACCAUUGAAAUGAUGGACUGUUACGGUCUUCCCUCUUAAUGCCCGUUUAAUGCCUAUUCAGGGAGCACUUCAUUUACGAAUCAUUUACAUGCUAGACUUAUGCAAUUUUGGGUGAAAAUUCUGUAUUGUUCUUGCACGGGAGCCAUGUUUUUAUUUAAGUAAGAUGAGUCACUGGUACCCUGAGCCCAGGCCUGCACAUGUAUUUCUAAACUAUUUGCAGUAAGACAUAUCAUGGAAUUAUGUUACAUUUUUUAAUGAAAAUAGUUCUCAGGUUUUAAAGGGGGAGAAAUAGGUUGAAAGAAGAAAACAUUCCUAUUUUGCUUAUGGUAAUUCUUAAGAAUAAUUCAGAAGAAUUACAUUCUUGUGUAAUCAGCUUUAGCCUAGAGCUUUAUUACCUUAUCUAUGUCUUAGGUUUGAUGGAUGGUAGGAAUACAAAUGCCAAUAUGAUACAAACCUUGGAGCAGUCAAUCACGUCAUUACGUACUGUACUUACUGGGCAACUUCAGAGGUUAUUUAUAAAUAUUAUUUGUGAUUUCUGUGUCGGAGAAUUGAAAAGCUUAGAAGAUGGCUUUAUGCAUAUACAAGAAUAAUCGAAAUUUAAGAUAAAAAACUAUAGAAAAGAAUAAUAAUGGUCCAUGGAGAUCUCAUCAUACUGAAGUAUUGAAACAGAAGAAAAUUCUUUUUCAAGUCAGAGUUCUAUUAUGUUGAAGAAAUGAUUAGGGCACGAACCAGGUCUCUUUCCUUAGGAGUUAAAUAAAUAGAGACACAUAUUUCACUUAUUUAUGGUGAUUAUAAAUGACCAGGAGAGAAUUUUAAAAGUCAUUACCACAAGGAUAAUAUUAAUCACUUUUAGUCCAUUUCUGCUUUUUAAUGGGUGUGUAAAGCAACAGAACAUGCAAUUCUUAGACAGUUCUUUAAUUAAAAUUGGAAAUGAAAGAGUUAUUUGGGAGAUGUUUCUCUGAAUGAAGAAUAUUGAUAUUUUUAAUUGAAUUCUGGAUUGAGUUUCCAAUAAAUUGAAAUGCAGGGAUUUCUCUCCAACUACGUGGAAUAUUUUGGCAGAUUAAUGACUGAACGUUUCAAGAGUCAAAAGGACUUGAACCAGCUUUUGAUCUAAGAAAAUGCACAACUCUGUUUCCAUUUUAAGAGUUUAUUCAGCUGUGGUUUGAGAUACAUUAACAACAAAUAGAUAAAUUUCGAAAUUAGAGUGUUGCUAUUACUAGUUUAUACUGGAUGCUGUGGUUGGCGAUUAUUUAGCCUAUGUCACAGCUCCUCUGUCCUAUGCCAACCUCAGUUCCACUUCUACGGUUUAGUAUCGCUGUUUCCCCUCUGUAAUUACAAAGCUGGAAAUGACUCUUUGCACCUGGUUCACAGUUUUUUUACCUUUCACAGUCUUCCAUAAAUAUAAAGCCCUGGGGUUUGGACGAUUCAAGUGAGUGUUUUAUUUCUGGUCUACACAUCUCAAGAUAGCAGGUGGAAAUGGGCCUCCAUUUUAUAAAGAUGACUGAAGCUGUGAGGGAUUUGUGGUCCCUGUAGAAAAGGUAUUAUAAAGCAGCAGAAGAAAAAUGGAAAAUACGAAAACCAAAAGAAAAUUCCCCAAACGGCACAACAAAAAGAUUUCCUGUAGCCACGGAGAGCCCUUCAGCACCCCAAUCCCACCUGAAUGAGGGUGUUCAUAUGCCUCAUGAAUCGCGCGUACAGAGCUGGCUCUCAUUGAAGUGAUGACGCAGGUCUCUGACUUGUCUUUUCCUUGUUUAGCUCCCAGGUCAGCACUGUUUGUUUGUUUGUUUGUUUUUUCCAGGAGCAUAACUUCCACUUCGGGCCUCAGCAUCUCUUUUGCUCUUUUUAUCCUCGUUUAGAUGGCAAAGUCUGCUCUCUGGACCCAGGAGCACAGAACCCAGAGCCGUUAUUGCUCAGCCAGGAGAUGCAACAGAAUCUGUAGAAUUUCGACAGAAUCUAUAAGGUCACCUAGUCAGUUAUGUACUUUCCUCCUUUAGGCUAUAAUUUCAAACACACCGUUUCACCUCACAGAAAGCAAAAGAAAUGAUGGCUGGAGGUUGGAGAUAUGCAGACUGAGGCCAUGAAGAAGGAAGCAGAGAUAAAACUCUCACUUGUAUUUUCCUGCUUGCUCAUCUUUUUAAAAAAUUGAUUUCACAAAGAGUUUCCUUGUUUAAUCUUAUCAUAGAACCAAGCCUUGGCUUUGUUGAUUGUCUCUAUUUUAUUGCUGUUUUCUAUUUCAUCCAUUUCUGCAUUUAUAUUUUUGUCAUCUUUGUUUUUUU